rnacentral:rRNA from 1 species
GACGAACGCUGGCGGCGUGCCUAAUACAUGCAAGUAGAACGCACAGUUUAUACCGUAGCUUGCUACACCAUAAACUGUGAGUUGCGAACGGGUGAGUAACGCGUAGGUAACCUGCCUGGUAGCGGGGGAUAACUAUUGGAAACGAUAGCUAAUACCGCAUAAUAUUGAUGAUUGCAUGAUAAUUGAUUGAAAGAUGCUAUUGCAUCACUACCAGAUGGACCUGCGUUGUAUUAGCUAGUAGGUGAGGUAACGGCUCACCUAGGCGACGAUACAUAGCCGACCUGAGAGGGUGAUCGGCCACACUGGGACUGAGACACGGCCCAGACUCCUACGGGAGGCAGCAGUAGGGAAUCUUCGGCAAUGGGCGAAAGUCUGACCGAGCAACGCCGCGUGAGUGAAGAAGGUUUUCGGAUCGUAAAGCUCUGUUGUCAGAGAAGAACGGGUGUGAGAGUGGAAAGUUCACACUGUGACGGUAUCUUACCAGAAAGGGACGGCUAACUACGUG